rnacentral:rRNA from 1 species
AAAGACCUAGCAAUAGGUAUGCUUAGGGAAGAGCUUGCGUCACAUUAGUUAGUUGGUGGGUAAUGGCCUACCAAGACGAUGAUGUGUAGCCGGGCUGAGAGGUCGAACGGCCACAUUGGGACUGAGACACGGCCCAAACUCCUACGGGAGGCAGCAGUAAGGAAUUUUCGGCAAUGGAGGAAACUCUGACCGAGCAAUGCCGCGUGAACGAUGAAGUAUUUCGGUACGUAAAGUUCUUUUAUUAGGGAAGAAAAGAUGGUGGAAAAACCAUUAUGACGGUACCUAAUGAAUAAGCCCCGGCUAACUAUGUGCCAGCAGCCGCGGUAAUACAUAGGGGGCAAGCGUUAUCCGGAAUUAUUGGGCGUAAAGGGUGCGUAGGCGGUUAAAUAAGUUUAUGGUCUAAGUGCAACGCUCAACGUUGUGAUGCUAUAAAAACUGUUUAGCUAGAGUUGGAUAGAGGCAAGUGGAAUUCCGUGUGUAGUGGUAAAAUGCGUAAAUAUACGGAGGAACACCAGAAGCGAAGGCGGCUUGCUGGGUCUUAACUGACGCUGAGGCACGAAAGCGUGGGGAGCAAACAGGAUUAGAUACCCUGGUAGUCCACGCCCUAAACGAUGAGUACUAAACGUUGGAUAAAACCAGUGUUGAAGUUAACACAUUAAGUACUCCGCCUGAGUAGUACGUACGCAAGUAUGAAACUUAAAGGAAUUGACGGGACUCCGCACAAGCGGUGGAUCAUGUUGUUUAAUUCGAAGGUACCCGAAAAACCUCACCAGGUCUUGACAUGCUUUUGCAAAGCUGUAGAAAUACAGUGGAGGUUAUCAGAAGCACAGGUGGUGCAUGGUUGUCGUCAGCUCGUGUCGUGAGAUGUUGGGUUAAGUCCCGCAACGAGCGCAACCCUUGUUGUUAAUUGCCAUCAUUAAGUUGGGGACUUUAGCAAGACUGCCAAUGAUAAUUUGGGAGGAAGGUGGGGGACGACGUCAAAUCAUCAUGGCCCUUUAUGACCUGGGGCUACAAACGUGGAUACAAAUGGCUUGUUACAAAGGGUAAGCUUAAACCGUAAGCUUCCUGGCGAAUCUCAAAAAA